rnacentral:rRNA from 1 species
GACGAACGCUGGCGGCGUGCCUAAUACAUGCAAGUCGAGCGGACCAAAGGGAGCUUGCUCCUGGAGGUUAGCGGCGAACGGGUGAGUAACACGUGGGCAACCUGCCUGUAAGACUGGGAUAACAUCGAGAAAUCGGUGCUAAUACCGGAUAAUAAAAAGAACUGCAUGGUUCUUUUUGAAAGAUGGCUUCGGCUAUCACUUACAGAUGGGCCCGCGGCGCAUUAGCUAGUUGGUGAGGUAACGGCUCACCAAGGCAACGAUGCGUAGCCGACCUGAGAGGGUGAUCGGCCACACUGGGACUGAGACACGGCCCAGACUCCUACGGGAGGCAGCAGUAGGGAAUCUUCCGCAAUGGACGAAAAGUCUGACGGAGCAACGCCGCGUGAGUGAUGAAGGUUUUCGGAUCGUAAAAACUCUGUUGUUAGGGAAGAACAAGUGCCGUUCGAAAGGGCGGCACCUUGACGGUACCUAACGAGAAAGCCACGGCUAACUACGUGCCAGCAGCCGCGGUAAAG